rnacentral:rRNA from 1 species
UGGGGAAUUUUGGACAAUGGGCGCAAGCCUGAUCCAGCAAUGCCGCGUGAGUGAAGAAGGCCUUCGGGUUGUAAAGCUCUUUUGUCAGGGAAGAAACGGGGUUGGCUAAUAUCUGAUCCUAAUGACGGUACCUGAAGAAUAAGCACCGGCUAACUACGUGCCAGCAGCCGCGGUAAUACGUAGGGUGCAAGCGUUAAUCGGAAUUACUGGGCGUAAAGCGUGCGCAGGCGGUUUUGUAAGUCUGUCGUGAAAGCCCCGGGCUUAACCUGGGAAUUGCGAUGGAGACUGCAAGGCUUGAAUCUGGCAGAGGGGGGUAGAAUUCCACGUGUAGCAGUGAAAUGCGUAGAGAUGUGGAGGAACACCGAUGGCGAAGGCAGCCCCCUGGGUCAAGAUUGACGCUCAUGCACGAAAGCGUGGGGAGCAAACA